ACGGGCCGGCCACAAUCGGAUACGCUGGCCGCGAGGUUGAUGACCGGUUCGUAAUAACGCUUCAGGACCCGGGGGCGGUACCCGGCGCCUCCACCAGAAGCAUCCUGCCCCGGAUACCGCACGGGGGUUAGGGCGCGCGUCCGGCGUUGCGGAUGGCGCGCUGCCAGGGUGCUUCUGCUGGGGGUGAAACAGGUUCGACUGGGCGGUAAAGGGAUCGCGAGUUCUGUCCUGCUUCGGCAGGGUAAGAUGCGGCUUUCGGUAAGGACUCGACCGGUUCGGCGCGGGCAACCCUCGUUCCGAGCACCUGACCAAAACUCUAAAUGCCAACGACAACGUCGGCAUGGAGAUGCGCCUCGCGGCGUAAUCUUCCGGGGCGUGGGCACGCCUAGCAACAGAACCCGGGGCUUCGGCCUUGGGGCCCGCUCAUUGUAUCCUGCCCGUCGCGGAUCAGGGUU
rnacentral:tmRNA from 1 species